AGCCAACUACAACAUCAAUUGCUCCAGCAAGUAAAAAGCCAACAACAACAUCAAUUGUUCCGGCAAGUAAAUAGCCAACAACAACAUCAAUUGUUCCAGCAAAUAAAAAG